CCCUUAGAUGUUCUGGGCCGCACGCGCGCUACACUGACUGGUGCAACAAGUGUCGCUCCUUGGCCGAUAGGCCUGGGCAAUCUUUGAACGCCAGUCGUGAUGGGGAUAGAUUCUUGCAAUUUUUGAUCUUCAACGAGGAAUUCCUAGUAAACGCGAGUCAUCAACUCGCAUUGAUUACGUCCCUGCCCUUUGUACACACCGCCCGUCGCUCCUACCGAUUGAAUGGUCCGGUGAAGCGCUCGGACCGCGGCCUCUUGACGGUUUUCCGUCGAUUGGCUGUGGGAAGUUCGUUAAACCUUAUCAUUUAGAGGAAGGAGAAGUCGUAACA
rnacentral:rRNA from 1 species